rnacentral:rRNA from 1 species
AUUAUUUUAAGCUAUAUAUUAGGAGUAAAUAAAAUUUAUGAAAUUAAAAAAUUUUGGCGGUAUUUUAAGCUUAUUAGAGGAAUUUGCUCUGUGAUGGACACAACGCCUUAAUCUUACUUAAUUUAGUAAUUUAAAUCAGUUUGUAUACCACUAUAUUAAUUAUAUUGAAUAGUUAUAUUUAAUAUUUUUUUAAAAAAAUAUAUUAAGUCAAGGUGCAUCUAAUAAUUAUGAAUGAAGUGAAUUACAUUAAUUUUAAUGUAAUUUUUUACAUGAAAAAAUUAAUUAGGAUUUAAUAGUAAAAUACUAAUAUUAUGAGUAUUUGAAUCAAGCUCUAAAAUAUGCAC